rnacentral:lncRNA from 1 species
UUUUCUGAAUGUUUCUGCAGGAGGCCGUGAACGUGUCCCUCGCCAACCUCAAGACUUACCCCUUCGUCAAGGAACGGCUGGCCAAAGGGACCCUCAAGCUGGUCGGCGCCCACUACGACUUCGUGUCCGGGAAGUUCCUCACAUGGGAGCCUGUAGGGUUCAUAACCUUCAUCCUUACAUUUUCAAUUGUACAUACUGUAUCUGAGACCACAUGGUUUUACCUCCUGGCACACUCCAGAUCCAAACUUCCUAUCCAUUUUCUCUCCUUCCUUGCCAUCGCAAUUAAUUUCUUUCUAAGAAGAACAAAAUCACCACCAAAUCCAACCACAACACUUGAAAUCCGCCCCAUGCAUAGCACUUGAAACCAGCCCCAACAUCUUAAUUGACCUACUUCUCAUCUUCUUCGGAUAUAAGAAGAUUGAACCCUAUCUCCACCGCAAAUACAUAUAUCGCGUUCACCCGCUACAAACUUCUAGUCCAGUUGUCGCCUGGUCCUCUAUCCGCUUCAAUUAGGCUUGCCGUUGCAUCGAAUUUCUAACCUCGUUGGUGCACCAGGCUCGUCUGUGGUGAUGGAUAUGAGGCCAUGGCCAUCGAGGUCCAUCUACCACAAAGAUGCCACUGCCUUUUUCCAUGGCCACCAUGGUUUGCCGAAUCAGUUGUCCCCCGAGGAAGCAAUCAUCAUGUUGGAGUCGUUCUUCUCUACAAAACGUGCUCAAGUAGCCAUCGACAUUCCGCUUAAGCGAUAUAUAUUGUCCACAAAAGCUGUGCUUGACCGUUACUCAUUUUUCAUCAAAUCCCGCGUUGUGCGGUGUCUCUUUCUCUCACUAAAACGAUUGCACAUGUCAUCAUGUUGAUGUUGCUAGUAAUCUAGACAAUGGGGCAGCUCAAAAGGUGAACGAGAGAGAUAUAGAGAGAAAGGGAGGGAGGGAGGGCCACACCGCAUCUAUCCAUCUGACUAUAAGGGGGCAAAAGAAGAAAAGAGGAGAAGAUGAGAAGUUGCAUUUGCCUCCCUGUUAUAUAUCAAAGGAGGGUCAAUGAAGCCGUCCAUAGAUUCCCACACCUCGUCACUCCUUGAGAACCAGAAGCCCACCCCAUCCAGUCCAAGGUCCGUUCCCUCAUCCUCCUCCCUCACCCUCGCCAUCAUCCUUCACAUAGCACACACAGUAAUCUUUGUCCGUCCCUCUGUUUUCUUUUCCUCUAUUGCCAUCAUGAGCCUGCAACUUCUGCUUUCUCCCUAUGUUGUAUUGUGUUGGUGCAAAGAAGAUCCAUCUUCCCCUUUUUGAUCAUAUUUUAUGCAUGCUUUCCUUAUGGUCCGUGGCAAGGAGGCCAAGCAUUGGCAUCAUGCCCCUUCUAUCUCUCUCUACCCCCUCAUGCCCCUUCUCUUUCUCUCUCUACCCCCGUCAUGCUGCAUCACGAUCAUGAGUAUGCAAGUUGGUCUUUCCGGGAUGGCAAAAUGACCGAUGGUUUUCUGGUUGUUGGUCUUGUAGGUGAUGGACGCCGUUGACCGCUUGAAGAGCGGGUUCGAGCAGUUCAAGAUCGAGGUCUAUGAGUAAGUCAUCUCUCUACUUAGAGCUGUUGUUUUUUUAAUUUGUAGCACCCAUGUUUGGUUUAAUAUUUUCAGUUUCAACCACUUGAUUUAUUUUGGGAAUUCUGAGAGCUCCGACUGAUACUGCCAUGUUGUCUUUUUUCUGCAGCAAGAAGCCAGAGCUUUUUGAGCCUCUCAAAUCUGGCCAGGCCCCCAGGGUAUGUGUAGGGAUGAAAAUGGAUCAAAUUUGUAUAGAAUCAAAUCCAUAUAUCACCUCUUAACACAUUUUUAUUCAAAUUCAGUUAUUGGAUACAUAUACUUUUGAAUACAAAUAUAAAACAAAUGUCUUGAAUCUGUAUUUCUAUUCAAAGAUUUACUCAAUUCAACUCAAAUUGUAUAUUGCUAAAUUCAACGUACAUGUAUACAAUUUUACUACUAAAUUCAUCGAUAAACCUUUUUUGCUUUAUCAAUUUUUUAGGUUUACAAACUAUUAUAUUGAAACAUUUGUGUAUAUAAUUUAAAAUGAAUGGUGACAGCUUGUCGCCAUUAGCGGCCAAUUGGCAAGUACUAGUAGUAGUCUGUUGGAUAUAAUCCCUCCAUCCUAAAUAUAUGCAGAAAUCAUCUAUUGAGGAGUAAUUCUUUUUUUCAGUUUAACUAAAAGUAUAAUUUAUUUCGAAAAAAUACUAAAUGCUCAAUCUAAUGAUAUUUAUUAUACACUAUAAACAUUAAUAUAUUUUUAAUAUAAAUAUAAUUAAAAUUUAAAAAUUUGAAGUUUCAUAAAGCGAGAUGUACAGUUAUUUUGGGACAAAAGAAAUAGUCCUAUAAUUAUUUUGUACUACAAAAGUCUGCUCCAUAGGGCACAAGCUUCAACUUUGGCACUACUAGUCAUAGGCUCAUUGCGCAAAGAAAUGGUGGUGGGAGUGGGAUACAUACAUGCUCCUUCUUUUCCCGAUCGAUCGACCUGAUGCUGAUUAUUUUCCUCUGCUGCAUGCAUGCAGUACAUGGUGUUCGCCUGCGCUGACUCCCGUGUGUGCCCGUCGGUGACCCUGGGCCUGAUGCCCGGCGAGGCCUUCACCGUCCGCAACAUCGCCGCCCUGGUCCCAGGCUACGACAAGGUACGUACACACUGACCGUCGUCGCCGACGACACAAAAUGGCCGUCUAUUUCUCCUCGGCCCGGCCGGCCGCCGCCGGCCGGGCAUGACAGAGGAUCGAGGACUGACACGGCCGCGCCUUUCGUAUUCGUCACCUGCAGACCAAGUACACCGGCAUCGGGUCCGCCAUCGAGUACGCCGUGUGCGCCCUCAAGGUGCAGGUGCUCGUCGUCAUUGGCCAUAGCUGCUGCGGUGGCAUCAGGGCGCUCCUCUCCCUCCAGGACGGUGCACCUGACAACUUGUAAGACGCCACCGUAAAAUAUACAAAGUUUCAUUAAGAUAAAACAAAAAUUCUUUUGUACCUCUAUGAUGAUUUUGAUCCCAGCGCAUUUUUAUCUGUUGUUUUUUUUGUGGUGUAUCCAGCCACUUUGUUGAGGACUGGGUCAAGAUUGGCUUCCCUGCCAAGAUGAAGGUGAAGAAAGAGAACGCUUCGGUGCCGUUCGAUGACCAAUGCUACAUUCUAGAGAAGGUAUGUACACCGUACAUGCACGAGCAGUUAGUUGCUGCAUGAAUGGAUUAAUUUUUGCUCACCGGAGAACCUUGUAUUUCUGAAAAUGUUUCUGCAGGAGGCCGUGAAUGUGUCCUUGGAGAACCUCAAGACCUACCCAUUCGUCAAGGAAGGGCUGGCCAACGGUACCUUAAAGCUGGUCGGCGGCCACUAUGACUUCGUGAAAGGAGAGUUCCUCACAUGGAAAGUCUAGAGCUAAGGCACCCGGACGGCCCAACUCCUACAUCAUCAUAAAUUUAUACCACAUAUAUACCUACCGAUAUGCACCCGAUCGAUGCGAAUGCGCGGAGUACUACAUGCAUGUUUUCAGCAACUACAUAUAUACAUACCGGAUCGCCCCAAUGUGAAUGUAAUAAGCAAUAGCAUUUUCAACCGCUUUCAUUUCUAACGCCGAGCUUUUAUGUACUAUAUAUAUAAUAUGAUGCAUAAUUGACCGGCUUGUGGUCAAAAGACAUCAACUAUAAUCCUUUUUUCAUAAUAUUGUUAUGAAGAGUUUACCUCUUUUUUUUGUCAUUAACGGAUCCAGAGAAACAGGCCAGGAGGGCAACACGCCAACACCCUCCGUCCUAAAAUAGAGUGCAUUCUGACAUUUAAGAUGUGUCCCAAAAUAUAGUACAUUCAAGGAACAUGAAGAUAAUAUUUACUUAAAUAAAGUUACGGAAGAGGAAAGUAAUUGAGUGCUUACUAUAUUUUCUAUAAGAAAACUUAGAUUGCAACCUUUAAUCAUACGAAUAAGAUCAUAUUUCAAUAUAUUAGAAAGUUAAGUGAGUAGUACAUGCGUCUAUUGUUUUUUCUCUCUCUCUCUUAUUUUGUCUUAAAUAGCCAUAACGCACUGUAUUGCAGAGCGGAGGGAGUACUUUGGAAGCAUCAAGAGCAAAAUCCAAGGAUGGAAAGCCCCAUAUGAACAACUAAGAUGAUAACUAGAAAUCAUACUCGCCAUACACGAGUACUUUGGAAGCAAGAAGAGCAAAAAUCCAAGGAUAGAAAGCCCCAUAUAAACAACUAAGAUGAUAACCAGAAUUCAUACUCGCCAUACACCAAUAGAUCUAACAAACAGCACUCAAUUCAAAAUGCUUAAUUAGACAAUACAUCAUUAAUGAUAGAAAGGUACUUAAUAAAUAGCUUCCGAUAAUUAAAUGAUCAAAUAUGUUUCACAAUUUCACACCACUUGAACAAGCAUCCUCCAAUCUACAUACAAAAUAAAAUAUCAUGGUUCUUCAAACAACAUGAUAAUAUUAUGGAUUGAAAUGAACUUAUACAACACACACCUUGGUCCCUUGUGUGGCAAAUUUAUCUACAAAUUCUUAAGACCUGUAAGCGGUUACACACUGUCCACACAUGUUCUACGCUUUAAUCAAUUUGAUUGGUUAUCAAACCAUUAUUGAACAAAACCUCUUGAUUAACUUUUAGUUUUACUCUCUUUUGUUGUUCUUUUAGUUUUACCCUCUUUCGUCUAGAGACGACGACUCCUUUCCCUAUUUCUCGCGAGGAUUCCUCUAUUAGGGGACAGAGAUAAGACCAAAUUAACCCCCAUAGGUAACUAAACAGAACCAAAUCUAUCCACUUGUAUCUACUGGGGCUGGGGCCGGGAAGCUUUCCUCGUACCUGCUCCUUGUCAAGCCCUCUUUAGCCGACUCUUCAUCUAGCUAUCAAUCUGACACAAUUGCAUCCAUCCAUCUUUGAUUCUUAUCUUAUACUAGAUAAUGGCUCGUGUAUUGUUGUGCACACACAAAAUUUUAAUCGAAUAACUUUUUUUACCAAAAUGAACUAAAAUAAACUUUUAUAUAGGUAUAAAAUUUAAAUUCAGCAUGACAUAGAAUUACCUAUAUUUCAAGUUUUGAGAUCCUUUGCAAUUGAAAAAAAAGGUAUUACACUUUAAUAAACCGUACGUAUCCACAUAUUGUGUUUUGGUGGGGUUCGAAGCAGAAUCCAUGGUGACCUUUGUGUUACAAGCAUUUUAACACCGACCUAGAUAUCAAAAAUCAAGUCCAAAAUAGUAAAAUUGACCAUAACAGUUGGAAUAAAAACGCAGCUUUAGCUUGAAAUAACUUGCAGGUAUUCAUGAUCAGAUUGAUCAAGAUAUUCAUGAUCAAGGAACGCACAAGGAAAAUGCUGAGUACAACCAAACUUGUACAGUUGUACUUAAGUAACAAUGACCUAUACAAUUGACUUAUACCAUUGACUUUUACCUGUACAGUUGCAAUCAAGUAUGGUACUUAUUUGAAAACAUAGCAAUCCAUUUCAAUGUAAAUGUAUUGAACCUUGAAAAAUAAUUUCGAGGAUUACAUAGUACAACAUAGACGUCUACAACAUGCACGCAUACUCACACUAAUGAAUACACAUACGCAAACCAUACUCAUAUGAGCAUCUCCGAAGAAUUAAGCUGACAGAUCAUCUCGAGAUUCACAAAGUCAUUAAAGGCGUCUCGUUCUCGACGGGGACGUCACCUACCACUGGAAACAUAGCGUCGUUAAAUCUUGAAAUAAAUUUAGAAAAACAUGAGCACCCAUGCUAAGUCGACGAGGUGUUUGGGACUGCUCUGCUCCACUUUUUUCAGCUCCGCUCCACGUUUUUUAGCCAAACGGUUUCAGCUCCACGCACUGAGUUCGAGAAAAAAAAGUGGAGUUGUGAGAGCACCUAAAGAGGUACUCCACGAACUCCAGUUUUUUGUAGAGCUACUUCAUAGUGGAGUUUGUGAAGCAGAGUUCGUGGAGCAGUGCCAAACACCCCCUUAAACCUAGAUGGACAAGUUAACGUGAAAAAAUAGUUUAAUUUGCACUCCAGUCUUAUAGAUUUUUUUUGCGAGGACCAAUCUUAUAGAUCUAUAGUAAUUGAUUUUAUCUAGACAAUGUCUAAUAUUGCCACGUAGAACAAAUUAGCACCACCAGCAGAGAAACUUUAGAAAGAAGAUAUAUAAAUCAUAAGUUAUUCUAACUUUUUAAGUCAAAGCAUAUUAGUUGACCAAUUUUAUAGAAAAAUCUUAAAAGUUUUAUGAUAUUAAAUAGGUAUAUUAUAAAAAUAUAAUUAAUAAAAAUUUUAAUAAUACUUAUUUAAUAUUAUAAAGGUUUUAUAUUAUAUAAUAAAUUUUGUUAGAUUUGAGGUGAGUUGGAAUAAGUUAUAAUUUAGAAUGGAUAUUGUAGCUAGUAGAAGUACUCCCUCUAUUCUUGAAAGAUACAAUUUCUAGAGUUGUCUUAAAUCAAACUUUUAAAACUUUAACCGAAUUUCUAGAAAAAAGGUUAAGAUUUAUAGUAGUAAAUUGAUACCAUUAGAUCUAUCAUAGAAUAUAUUUUUAUAAAAUACUUAUUUUAUGAUAUAAAUAUUGAUGCUUUUUUGUAAAGAUCAUUAAAUUUUAAAAAAAUUAACCAACACGAAUUCUAGAAGUUGAAACUUUCAAUAAGGUCUUGUUUAGUUCACCCCAAAAACCAAAAUCUUUUCAAGAUUCCCCGUCACAUCGAAUCUUAUGGUACAUGCAUGGAGUAUUAAAUAUAGAUAAAAAUAAAAACUAAUUGUACAGUUUACCUGUAAAUCACGAGAUGAAUCUUUUAAGCCUAGUUACUCUACGAUUGGAUAAUGUUUGUCAAAUAAAAACGAAAAUACUACAGUUCCGAAAAUUUUUCAGUUUUCGAAACUAAACAAGGGCUAAAGAGUAGUGUUUAUGACAAAAGGAAAAAAAAAAAGAUCGGCACUUGGCACCCGGCCACCCGCCCUCCACCCUAGGCCCGACGCGACCCGACCCCCACCUAGACCGGUCUCGGUCGGACUCUCGGCGUCUCUCGCCACGCGCGGGCGCGCCGCAAACAGUCCUCCGCCCGCCGUCGUACCACCCCCACCCGUGCUUCCUCCGUCGGUUGGCUGCAACAAGUCGGCAGCGCCGCGCCCGCCUCCCGACGCCCCAAGCCCCCAAUCGCUCCUCCUCCAUUUCCCACCCAUCCAGAAGUCCGCCGGCGCAGAGGGACCAGGGUUCGCCGCCAGCAGAUGCAGUUGCAGGAGCAGGGUUCGCCGCCAGCGCCAGUAGACGCAGGAGCUCGGCGGAUCCACAUCGGAGGCGAGCUGAUCCUCUACAGAAGGUGCCCCGCUGCUCCUCCCGUAGUCCUGCUGCUCCCGUAUUUGAUUAAUUUCUCCGGCUGCGAAUCGACUCAUGGGGGAAGAAACAGUUUUAGACGACAACGCCCUGGCUUUCUCGGCGGGUACGUAAUCCCCGUCCAGGGACGGGGAUGGGGAUGGGGUGAAAGUGAAAAACCCUCCCCUGCGAGGUUUUACGGGGACGAGGACGGGGAUGGGGAAGCGUUCCCCGACGGCGAAUUUCCCGUUGCCAUCCGCUCGUCUGUGAUGCUGGAUACGACGAGGCCAUGGCCAUCGAGGCCCAUCUACCACAACGACGACGGCACUGCCUUUCUUCCAUGGCCACCCGUGGUUUCGCUGAAUCAGUGGUCCCAAACUGUCAUUUUGGAGUCGUUAUUUCUCCUCCUCCAAAACGCGAGGAGUAGCCAUCGACAUUCCGCUCGCUCAGGCGUUUAAUUUUGUCCACAAAAGCCGGGAUCAGCCGUUACUGGGCGUCUCUUUCUCUCGCUGAAACGAUUGCACGUGUCCUGUUGCUAGUAAUAAACUGGACAACGAGCGGGGCAGCUCAACAAGAGGCACAGCCAAACGAGAGAGAGAGAGAGGAGAGGAGAAAGGGAGGGAGGGCCGCCGCGCAUCCAUCCGUCCGGAGAUAAGAGGGGAGUGGAAGAAAAGAGGAGAAGAUGAGCAGCUGACUUUGCCUCCCCCGUUAUAAAAGGGAGGAGGGGGCAGGGAGGAAGCCGUCCAUAGAUUCCUCCGCCUCGUCACUCCACUCCUUGAGAUUUGAGAACCACAAGGGCCACCCCCCACCCACCCUCCAAGGUCCGUCCCCUCCUCCUCCUCCUCCUCCCUCACCUUCAGCACCAUCCUCUCCAUUCCUCCACACAGCAAUAUCUGUCAAUCCCCCCCGUUUUGUUUUCCUCUGUUGCAAUCAGUAGCGUGUACCCUGUAGCUGUAGCUUCCACUUUCUUGCUGUGUCGUACUGUGAUGGUGCAAAGAAGAUUCCUGUUCCCCCUUUUAGAUCACCUUUGUGCAUGCCUUUUCUUGUGGUCCGUGGGCAAGGAAGGAGGCCGAAAAUUGCAUCAAUGCCCCUCCCUUCUCUCUCUGUCUAUACCCCCUCAUACUGCAUCACGAUCAAGAGCAUGUAUGCAAGUUGGUCUUUCUAGGGAUGGCGAACUGACCGGCGAUUUUCUGGUUAUUCGUCCUGCAGGACAUGGCGGACGCCGUCGACCGCUUGAAGACCGGGUUCAACAAGUUCAAGACCGAGGUCUAUGAGUAAGUCAUCUCUCUACUCGAUCAGAGAGCUGUUGCUUUCUGCAGCCCCGGCGUUUGGUUUAAUCGUUUCAGUUUCAACCCCAUGGUGCUUGCUUUUUUUUUUGGGGGGAACUCUGAGAGCUCCGACUGAUCCUGUGCCUGCUUGAUUUUUGUUUUUUUCGCAGCAAGAAGCCGGAGCUGUUCGAGCCUCUCAAGGCCGGCCAGUCCCCCAAGGUAUGUGCUACUGCCAUACUUCGCUCUCUUCUCACCUCCCUUGUACGCCGCUAAGUUUUUCGUCUCUAGCGACUCCGGCCGGCCAGUUUUCGGUUAUCUGUCGUACUCGUAGGUGCUGCUGCUCCCGUGAUCCUCAGCACAGAUCCUGGAUGGUUAAUUAGACAAAACCGUGUUCAGUAAAUUCGGAUUUUCCGUGGGCCUCUGGGCAACGUCCGACUGGCCCACAGAUUUGGUGCUACUCUUGCUUGCUGGUUGCCCAUCUGCCUCAGAGAACCGCGUCGCUGCUAGUACUAGGCUCUGUAGCUCAUCAGUAUCCCUGCAUUGCAAUGCACUAUUCAUCGUCCACCCUGUCGUGUCCCUGGGUGCGCACGCAGCCACGCCGGUAAGGUGAGGUCAAAGUUGCAGUAGACAAAAGGAAACCUUUGUGCCGGUACCGAGGUCAAAGUUGCAGUAGACAAAAGGAAACGGAUUGUCCUAAUUGCACGGCUUAAAACUGAGGUGACAGCUUGUCGCCAUUAUAUUAGCGGCCAAUUGGCAAGUAGUUCUGUUUGGAUAUACUACAUAACUAGUCCUAUAAUUGCUUUGUGCAACAGUGCAAGUCUGCACCAUAGGGCACAAGCUUCAGCUUUGGCACUACCAGUCAUAGCGCAAAAGAAAUGGUGUAGUGGGAUAUACAUGCAUGCUUGCAAAGCAAAAUCCUUCACAGCUCCCACCGGCCACCACUGUGCCGGGCACUAACCCCAUGUGCGGCAUGCUAGCUGGUGAUUUGCAUUUGUUUGGUAAAUUAUUGAGAUGUCGCCGUCCCUAUAUAGGCUCACUUUGCAGAUGACGGAUAUAGUAGUACGUUAGUAUUAGUAUAUUGAUUUUCCUUCAGUUGACUAGUAUAAACCUGGUGCAAGAAUCUUGCAAGUACAGAGUUUAUUGUUUUAAUUUAUAGGAGUUUUGAGCUGGCAUCGAUCCCAUGCGCCUAAUUAGUAAAUACUUCAUGAAAUGCAUGCAUGCAUGGUAUAGCUAGCUGGUUCUACUGGUUUUUCCUACCCAUGAAAAUUACUAGUAGUCAAAUAUUCUUUGUAGUAAAGGAGAAGAUAAAAGCAGUCUAAUUUGGCGUACUCAGUCUGUGGAAAACAAAGAACUACUCUGCACAUUGUUUGAAUUAUAAUGGUCACUUCCACCUACUAGCCGUGUUGAAUUCUUUUUUUGAACAUAUGGUCACUUUCAUCAUUACAUUUGAAGGGGCAGCAACAGAUGGUGGUGACCAGCCAUUUCAGAUGUCUCAUCAUUUCGAUUUUUUUGUUUGACACUCACAUACACAACACAAACACAAAGAGACGUGAACCCCAAGUCUCCUUUACCUUAUAUGAUAGAACAGAAAUAAUGCAAGGGGAGCCAUGUACUAGAUAAGAACAGGUGUGUAUUAGCAUUCAUCAUUCCAUGGCUAAUGUGUGGUCCAGCCAUGAUUGAGCACAGGCCCCACCAUUCACCUCACGGGAUUCUUCUUUCUUCAUCGUCAGUAUAGAAGAGGAGUAGUUGGUUUGGACGUGUCCUCUCCCCUCUCCUCUCACACCCCUUGCAAAAAAGUUAGGCGCAUAAUUGUUGGGCAGCAGGGCCUAUUGGCGGUUGCUUUAGCAUUGAGAACACUGUGUAUUCGCAUCCAUAUCUCACUGGACAUGCCGAUCCUCGAGAAAAUAUGCUUUACUACACUACAGAUGUAUGUCUCAGAGUAUAUAUACACAAAAAAUAGUGGAAGAUGAUUGCAUUACGCCAUGGGUCCUAAUCACCUUUGUAUCCCCGGGUCCCUUUCCAAAUCAUGGCCUCCCAAGUCCCAAGUGUGAGCUAAUCCAAGCCAGAACAAAUAUUCCAGCGUCCUGCCUCCCGAAGACUCCUGAUGGCUGAUGCUGCUCUUUGCCGUCAAAUUAAAGCUUAAUCUGCACUAUUGAUUUGGACACCCACAUCCCAGGGCCACAUAAACCCGUCACAUGAAAUUCGUUAUCUGUUCAUUCACUUAUAUGCAUAUAUGCAGCCUCCCUUUUGCCUACCAACUUGGCCGGAAAUAUUCUUGCUUGGCAGCCGGGAAUAGGAUAGAUAAGCGUGUUUUUCCUUGGCCGCUGAUCUGCCCCGGGAGCACACGGAAACCAGCUUAGAAUAUCCUCGUCGCAACUUGUACUAGUAGCACGGAAGGAACCUUCCUGCAGCCUGGAUUUUGUCCAUCCUGCCCCUGUAAAAAAAAGAGCAUUGGAACAACAAAGACAGGCGGGUCAAAACUCACAAAAGCUGCCGCCUUUUGGCUUUGGUUGCCAGCUUGCAAAUCCACCACAGCCAGAAUCGUGUAGUACUCCACUGAUCAGGACCGAUCUGCCUACCUGCUUAUCGAUAAGAGCCGUGGGAACUGGACUGAAUUUUGCCGGCUCUCCCUCUUUUCACCGACCUCUGAUGGUGAUCUUCCUCUGCUAACACGCAGUACAUGGUGUUUGCGUGCUCCGACUCCCGUGUGUGCCCGUCGGUGACCCUGGGUCUGCAGCCCGGUGAGGCCUUCACCGUCCGCAACAUCGCCGCCAUGGUCCCAGCCUACGACAAGGUACGCGUCCACACUGACCGACGCAUUGGACGUCUAAUUUUUUCAAGCCCGGCCGCCGUGGAACAUUGACGGACGACUAACAUGGUUGCCUUUCGUUUUUGUCACCUGCAGACCAAGUACACCGGCAUUGGGUCUGCCAUUGAGUACGCCGUGUGCGCCCUCAAGGUGCAGGUCCUCGUCGUCAUUGGCCACAGCUGCUGUGGUGGCAUCAGGGCGCUCCUCUCCCUCCAGGAUGGCGCACCUGACACCUUGUAAGUCAUCAUCCCUAGAAUAUAUACAAAUUUCAUUUAGGUUAAGAAACAAGACUCGUGUGCCUCGAUCGAUCUCGUGUCAUGAAUUUGAUCCUAGCAUUGUUGUCCGUUUGUUUGGUGGUGUAUGUACGCAGCCACUUCGUUGAGGACUGGGUCAGGAUCGGCUUCCCUGCCAAGAUCAAGGUGAAGAAAGAGCACGCUUCGGUGCCGUUCGAUGACCAGUGUUCCAUCCUGGAGAAGGUACGUACACCGUACACGCACGAGCUGUUAGUUAUUGGAUGAAUAAUGGAUUGGUUUUGCUCACCAAAGGACCUUGUAUUUUCUGAAUAUUUGUGCAGGAGGCCGUGAACGUGUCCCUCGACAACCUCAAGACGUACCCCUUCGUCAAGGAAGGGCUGGCCAACGGGACCCUCAGGCUGGUCGGCGGCCACUACAACUUCGUGUCAGGGGAGUUCGACACAUGGGAAAUUAAGAGCUAAGCUGCCCGGCCGGCCGCUUAACAACUCCUACCAUCAUCAUAAAUAUAUAUACUACAUACCUACCGAUAUGCACCCGAUCGAUGUGAAUGCGUGGAGUAUUACUCAUGUUUUCUGCAUGCAGCGACAUAUAUAUAUAUAUACCGGAUCGCCCAAUGUGAAUGUAAUAAGUAAUAGCAUUUUCUACCGCUUUUAUUUCUAACGCCGAGCUUUCAUGUACUAUAUAAUGUGUUAUAUGAUGAGUAAUUUGACCGCCCUGUGGUCAAAAGACAUCAGCUAUAAUCCUUUUUUCGCAAUAUUUAUUAUGAAGCGUUUACCUCUUGUACUGCCUUUACUGUUCAUCUUUUCUGUCUCUCUAUGAAAUGCUGAUAUAUGACACCAUUUAUGUGAG